rnacentral:tRNA from 1 species
UCCAGGGUAGCCAAGUGGAACGGCGGCCGACUGUUAAUCGGCAGAUCGCAGGUUCGAUCCCUGCCCCUGGAGCCA